AUAGUAUUUGGAGAUAGAGCCUUUGGGAGAUAAUUAUGGUUAGAGGACUGUAUGAAGGUGGGGCCUCAUCUGAUAGGAUUAGUGCUGAAAAUCUACUCCUGUUAGAACUGCUCAAGACAAGCCUAGGAAGGAUGCCCAACAAAGACAUUAACAUAGAAGCAGCAUCAGGAGUCAGUAAUUCUAGGCAUGGAGACAUGAAGAUCUUAGGGCUAAGAAAUUUUGAAAAUGAGAUAUCCUUCAAGAGGUAAACAACAAGUAGAAAAUGAUCACCUUAAGUAAAAAGUUUAAAAGCAAAAGAAAAUACAGAAUAAA